CACUCCAUUGAGCACCUGCAGCUACCAUCAGGCCAGGGUUCCAUGAAGCCCCUUUCAUCUGGUGACCUGAGAGCUGUGACCAAUGACGCGGACAGCAUAGGAAACAGAACUGUAACUUUUACGGUUAUAAGUUCCCCUAGACUCGGGAGGCUGGUGCGAGUCAAUUCUGACAACAGCACAGAGGAUGUUUCCGUGUUUACGCAGAAUCUGGACCCUGGUUGACUCUGAGC